UUGAAACACCUGUUCUUGUUCGAUCAUCAAAGUUAAGCAAUGUUGAGCCUGGACAGUACUCAAAUGGGUGACUGCUGAAGAAUACCUGAUGUUGUAAG